rnacentral:rRNA from 1 species
AGAGUUUGAUCCUGGCUCAGAACGAACGCUAGCGGCGCGUUUCAGGCAUGCAAGUUGAACGGUAACAGGGGAGCUUGCUCCCGCUGACGAGUGGCGCACGGGUGAGUAACGCGUAGGUAAACUAUCCUAAAGUCUGGUAUAGCUCUACGAAAGUAGGAUUAAUCCCGGAUAGUUUGUAAUUAACUUAAGUUUUUUACAAUAAAGCUUCGGUGCUUUAGGAUGUGCCUGCGUUAGAUUAGCUCGUUGGUGAGGUAACAGCUCACCAAGGCUUUGAUCUAUAGCCGAGCUGAGAGGCUGAUCGGCCACAUUGGAACUGAGACACGGUCCAGACUCCUACGGGAGGCAGCAGCUAAGAAUCUUCCGCAAUGGUCUUAUGACUGACGGAGCGACGCCGCGUGAAUGAUGAAGGCCUUUUGGGUUGUAAAAUUCUUUUAUGAGGGAUGAAAGUUUAAUUUUGAUUAUUCUGACAGUACCUUGUGAAUAAGGUCCGGCUAACUACGUGCCAGCAGCCGCGGUAAUACGUAGGGACCUAGCGUUGUUCGGAUUUACUGGGCGUAAAGGGUACGCAGGCGGUUAAAUAAGUCAGAUGUGAAAUACCCGGGCUUAACCUUGGUGCUGCGUCUGAUACUGUUUAACUAGAGUUACUGAGAGGAAAGCGGAAUUCUUGGUGUAGGGGUGAAAUCUAUAGAUAUCAAGAAGAACAUCUGUAGCGAAGGCGGCUUUCUGGCAGUCAACUGACGCUCAUGUACGAAAGGUAGGGUAGCAAACAGGAUUAGAGACCCUGGUAGUCCUACCUGUAAACGUUGUAUACUAGGUGGUGGGAGUAUUGAUCCUUUCACUGCCGGAGCUAACGCAUUAAGUAUACCGCCUGGGGAGUAUGCCGGCAACGGUGAAACUCAAAGGAAUUGACGGGGGCCCGCACAAGCAGUGGAGCAUGUUGUUUAAUUCGAUGAUACGCGAGAAACCUUACCAGGUCUUGACAUAUACUUGACGACUGUAGAGAUACAGUUUCUCUUCGGAGCGAGUAUACAGGUGCUGCAUGGUUGUCGUCAGCUCGUGCCGUGAGGUGUUGGGUUAAGUCCCGCAACGAGCGCAACCCCUAUCCUUUGUUGCUAACAGUUCGGCUGAGCACUCGAUGGAAACUGCCGGUGACAAACCGGAGGAAGGUGGGGACGACGUCAAAUCAUCACGGCCCUUAUGACCUGGGCUACAAACGUGCUACAAUGGAUGGUACAGCGAGUUGCGAGACCGUGAGGUGUAGCUAAUCUCUUAAAACCAUCCUCAGUUCGGAUUGAAGUCUGAAACUCGACUUCAUGAAGCUGGAAUUGCUAGUAAUCGCGCAUCAGCAUGGCGCGGUGAAUACGUUCCCGGGCCUUGUACACACCGCCCGUCACAUCACCCGAGUUGGUUAUACCCGUAGUGUCUGUGCUAACCUUUUAUUAGGAGGCAGGGCCCGAAGGUAUUGUCGGCGAGGGGGAUGAAGUCGUAACAAGGUA